rnacentral:snRNA from 1 species
CUACUUACCUGGCAGGGUAGAAACUAUGAUCACAAAGGUGGUUUUCCAUUGCUCUCUGGAUGUGCUGACACCUGCGAUUUCACCAAAUGUGGGAAACUCAAUUGCAUAAUUUGUGGUACUGGAGGACUGCUUUCAUGCUAUAUCAGA